rnacentral:tRNA from 1 species
GGUGAUGUAACUCAAAUGGACAGAGUGCGGCACUGUCGAUGCCGAAGCUGAGGGUUCGAGUCCCUUCAUCACCG